AUUAAAAUAGCUUAAAAUUAGAGCUUUGCAUUGAAGCUGCAAAGGUGACCAAGGUCUUUUAAUA
rnacentral:tRNA from 1 species